GUCUCAAGCAAAAUCAAAGUCUGACAUCUCUUUCAUUUCUAGGGUUUCAAACGCUCUCAAAAGUUCUCAACAGUACUUGAAUCAACUACUUUUGGGGAUUUCAAAAUCUAGUUAUCCAUUGUUGCUGUUUCCGGAUUACAAUGCCGCCUCCUUCGAAAUCCGUGGAAGGCGAGGAGUGGGGAACCCCCACCAACAACCUCUGGGUCGGGAAUCUGCCGACGGAGGUCACAGAUUCCGAUCUCAUGGAACUAUUCGCUCCGUACGGUUCUCUGGACUCACUCAUCUCCUACUCCUCGCGCACCUUCGCUUUCGUCUUGUUCAGGCGCAUCGAAGACGCUAAGGCAGCGAAAUCCAACUUGCAAGGCGCGUUGCUGCGCGGGUUUCAAAUCAGAAUCGAGUUUGCCAGACCGGCAAAGCCGUGCAAACAAUUGUGGGUGGGUGGUUUUAGUCCCACUGUUGCAAGGGAAGAUUUGGAAGCGGAAUUUCGCAAAUUCGGUAAGAUUGAGGAUUUUAAGUUCUUUAUAGACCGCGGCACUGCGUGUGUUGAGUUUCUCAAUCUGGAUGCUGCUGCUCGGGCGAUGAAAGUCAUGAACGGGAAGCGGUUAGGUGGACGCCAGAUUUGUGUAGAUUUCCUUCGAUCACAAUCUACGAGAAGAGAUUUUUUGGUUGAUCAUGGGCAGUUUCAGGCUAGACCACAGCAUUUACAACCUUCAAUUGGGAGGAAUAAUCAACCCAGUAAAAUCUUGUGGAUAGGUUUUCCUCCUUCCUUUCAAAUUGAUGAACAAAUGCUCCACAAUGCCAUGAUUUUAUUUGGUGAAAUUGAGAAAAUCAAGAGUUUUCCUUCUAGACAUUAUUCAUUUGUUGAAUUUAGAAGCAUUGAUGAAGCUCGGCGUGCCAAAGAGGGUCUUCAAGGACGGCUUUUUAAUGAUCCUCAAAUAACAAUUAUGUAUUCAAGCAGUGAGCUGGCACCUGGAAAAGAUUACCCUGGCUUUUAUCCUGGAGGUAAAGGCCCCAUACCUGAUGGAUUAGGUAAUGAGCAUCCAUUUCGACCGCUACAAACAGAUGUAUUUGGUCAUAAUCGUCCUAUGGUUCCAAAUAAUUUUCCUGGACAAUUGCCACCUGGACAUAAUGUCCCAAUGCGACCUUUUGGUUCUCAAGGUCUUGAACCUCUUAUCUCUGGUCCUGAUUUUAAUGAGAUGGGUCCAAGCUGGAAAAGGCCAUCUCCUCCUGCCCCAGGAAUGCUUCCUUCUCCUGUGCCUGGUAUUAGGCCUCCUACAAGAUCCACCUCCGGUGCAUGGGAUCUACUUGACAUAAACCAAUUUCAGAGAGAUUCUAAACGUUUGAGGAUAGAUGAUGCUUUGUUCAUUGGUGAUGCUCCAUUUCCUUUAAGGAAUAUAGAUGAUCGUGGAUUAGGAGUAGAACAGCCAUUUGCAAUUGAUUCAGUUAUUGAUGGAGGUGGUUCUGGUCCAAAAAGUCACCUUGGUCCAGUCGGCACUAGGAUCACAUCUGGAGUACCUGGUUCUGUCCAACCUGAUAUUGAUCAUAUAUGGCGUGGAAUUAUUGCAAAAGGGGGAACUCCUGUUUGUCGUGCUAGAUGUGUGCCUAUUGGGAAAGGGAUAGUGACUGAGAUUCCUGAUAUUGUAGAUUGUGCUGCCAGGACUGGAUUGGAUAUGCUAACAAAACACUAUGCUGAUGCAAUUGGUUUUGACAUUGUUUUCUUUCUCCCUGAUAGCGAAGAGGAUUUUGCUUCAUACACUGAAUUCCUUUGCUACCUCAAAGCAAAAAAUCGUGCUGGUGUUGCCAAGUUUGUUGAUAACACCACUUUAUUUUUGGUACCACCUUCUGAUUUCUUGACCAAGGUUUUGAAAGUCACAGGACCUGAACGCUUAUAUGGUGUGGUUCUUAAAUUUCCAUUAGUUCCAAGUAGCACAUCUAUGCAACAACCAAUGCAUUUGCCUUCUCCCUCUACUCAGUAUAUGCAACGGAUUCCUCCUUCACAAGCUGAAUAUGGUUCAAUAUUGGUAAAGGAGGAACAGGUUUUACCAAUGGAUUAUAACAGAUUGUUGCAUGAGGAUUCUAAGCAUCUGCCAAAACCACUUCAUCCAGCUACAAAUGUCCCCCCUUCAGCUCAUUCUGUUCCUUCUGAUUUUGCUCCUACUUAUACUGCUUCUGCAUCCCAAGCUGUUACAUGGACACCUGAACUUAUUGCAAGUUUAACUUCUUUACUCCCUGCAACUACGCAAUCAUCAACCACGGGUGGCCCAAUGGCAGUGGCUGGUCCCUCUAUUGUGAAGCCAUCUUUUCCUUCUGUUGCACCUAAUGAUGGAAAUCAAUCUCAUUUGUGGAAACAAGCUCAGCAAAUCCCUGAUCCUUCUAGUCAUCCUCCUCAACAAUUUGGGAGUAUUCAUAAUGUUCAAUAUCAACCUUAUCCACCUGCAUCUUCUACUGACCACCCUGCUCAAGUGGUCUCUGGCAGUUCUUGUUUCCAAGAUACCAAUUCCAGUCUCCAGCAGCCAGUUGCUGUUUCGUCUACACCCAUGACUAAUUUCAUCUUACCUCCUCAAAAUGGACAGGUAGCUGUGUCCCCUCAAGUCAGUCAACAGUAUCAGGUGGAAGUCCCCCAUGGCACUGAGAAAGACUAUGGAGUUGUUCAGGGAACAGAUGCCUCUGUUUUAUAUAGUUCUAAGGCGUUCCAACAACCUAAUAAUUUUAUUUCCUCAUCCAAUCAAGUUGCCAAUGCUGCAUCACAGCAACAAUCUGUGAUGCCCUUUACAGUGGACAAAGAUAAUUCAGUGCCCACAAAUCAGCAACCUCAACCUGCUUUAUUUGGAGUUGGCCAGGGAGUGUCAGAAUUGGAGGCUGAUAAGAACCAGAGGUACCAGUCAACACUACAGUUUGCUGCCAACCUUCUCCAGCAGAUACAACAACAGCAAACACAAGGAGGGCAUGGGCCAGGAAAUCAACAAUAAGAAUUGUUUUCUGGAAGCAUUCUAUGGAAAGACUUGGUGGUUCUGCAUGCUGUUUUCUUCCUAAUUUUGUGUGCAGGGAUUUUUUUAAUCUCUUUAGCAACCUGAAGGGCCAUUUAUGUAGACAUUUAUUUUAUUCUCUCUUUUAAGUUUUAACUGAAAAAAGAUAUUUUUGUGGUAACUAAAUAUUAUGUUGCCGUUUCAUUUUACUUUUGAUCGCGGAUUAGUUGGACCUGAAUAUUUCUCAGUUUCUUCUUCUGCUGAUGGUGCUACUACUUCUACUAUGCCAAGAGUCUCAGUUAUUGAAGAUUUACAACACAAUCAGUUGAUAUUCCCUAAAAUGCUGCUUGCUAAGUUUACAUGUUUCUCUCCCUCGUCAUCUUGGUUAUCUUCUUGGUGUGCUGCAUAGUCACUAAACAUUUGGAAAGCCUUAUCCAGUGUUGUCAAAUAGCGGCUAUUGCGGCACUAUCAAAUUUCUAUUCACAUUUAUUCUUCUGCUGGACAUGGCUUAAAAAUUUGGAAAAAGGAUUUAAUAUCCCAUUCCAAUACUGGUCCAGCAAUAUUAGGGAUGGGUUCUGUGCUUAGGGGGGGGGGAUUAGUGUAUAGAUAUUUUGUGAUUGGGUGCCUGGCCUACAGUCAGAUCUAUGGUUACCUAAUUCUUGCUGUACUCCACGAAAAUCGCAAUCACGAGCGCCUUACGCGUCGUCGAAUGUCAUUGUGUCGUGGCUGUUGCGUCGUUGGUUUCCGGCAAGGUUGAAUUUGGAUAGAAAUUGCAUUGACGACGUUUAGGGUUCAUUGGUUCAUCCUUUUGAAAGAAAGGAAACCGGGUCAGGUGUGGAUUUAGGUCGCGUCUGCAGUCUGCGCUGCACAUCAAUUCAGAGUUGUUUUGGGUUUGCGGACAAGUUUUUUGGCUUUGUUAAAACUCGCGUUGCGAAUCUUGUGUCUCCAUUCAGAAAUUGCAGAGCGGUGAAGUUUCUCAGCCAUGAUAGAGCAGAGUCGAGGUAGUUUCAGAUUUAGGGUUCCCAUGAAGGAGAUGACUGAUGUUUGGGCUUGCGGGUCUUGGACAAAUUGGGCUCAUGUGCCUUUUUAAAACAUAAUAAAUAUUCAGUUUUGUUUUUGUUUUAUUCUAUACUAAAACUCACGUGAGUUUUUAAACUAUGGAGUUGGAGUCAAAUGUGACUUGGGCUUUCUAAUUUUAAAAUAGGCCCAAUGUAGCCUUUUUAUUUCUAUUGCAUUCAACUUUUGAAGAUCAUUGCCACUUAAACAUCUCUACGCAAACCCUUCCUCCCAAAGCUCAGAACCCUCCAGAGUCCGGCCUUCUUCUCCACUCCUUUACUAGGACUACUUUAGUAUUUAGCUCUUUUUUUAAUGUUUCCAACAUAUUUUGUCUUGCAGAAUUUAACUUUUUAGUUAAUAUUAUGUCAAUGUUUAUUCAGCUUAUUUUUGUUUGCAUAUAGCUUAAUUUUUUUAUACAUAUUUAAUCGUCUUAUAUAUAUAUAUAUAUAUAUAUAUAUAUAUUAUAUUUCAACUGCUAUAGCAGAUUUUCAGCUAUCCACUAUUGACAACACUGGUUCUACUGUAAAUUUUUGUCCAUGGCAACCACAUAUGCUGUUCUAUAGUCUGUCAAAUGUUGCAGAUUCUGUUUAAAUCCUGUUAUAUAUAUAUAUAUAUAUAUAUAUAUAUAUAUAUAUAUGGUAAUGUGCUUUAGCUUUUCAUAUUGAUUGAUAAAUGUUAAACAUUUAAACCUAGGACACGUAAUUCUUGUAGUGUUUUAGGAUUUUGAUAUUUUUUUUCAUUAAGUGACUUUGUUUCGAAUAUAAUUUCAGAUGAUAAUAGAUACAUCCAACGACUAUGUAGUAUGUAGUAUGUAACAAUCCCCAGGGUACACAUCUUAGAAUGCUUGCAUAAUGGUUAAGAUGAGUCUAGUAAAUAUCUAAUUUGAAUAGACCUGUUUUUGCUUAUUCUUGUGCACUAGCAUUAAUUUUGUCCAUUAUCUUAUUUCUGAUUGGUUUAAUUUAUUUGUCUUUUAAUUCCACCAUAUGAUUGGCUUAAAUUAUUUCUCUAUCUCCAACAUUUGUCAUAGUGUUUCUGUGUUAUUUUUUUUUAAUUGCAUUGAUACCAAUGUUGUGACAAAAUGCCAUAUUACAAAUAUCCUGUACAAGUAGUUCAAGACUCGAUAUUUGUGACAGUAUUGAGUCAUGAACUUCACUAUACUGCAAUUGCAUGAUGAUAACUUGUUUUAAAUGCUGUUUCCCAUUAUUUUUAAGAUGUAGGCUUAGAGCUCUUUCUUUCCCCUAGAAGAUUAAAUAUAAGGUUGGGAUCUCAAUCACACUAUAACUUAUUUCAAUGAUUUGUAAUUUGAACUAUGUAAGGAUCUUUAAUGUGCUGUGAAGACACUUUCUGUUCAAAUUUGUAAAUUUAGUUACCGCUAUUUACUGCUUUACCAGCUAA